rnacentral:rRNA from 1 species
CCCUUAGAUGUCCUGGGCUGCACGCGCGCUACACUGAUGUGUCCAGUAAGCACCUAACCUCUUCCGAAAGGAACGGGUAACCUUUGCAAAGCACAUCGUGAUGGGGAUAGAUUAUUGCAAUUAUUAGUCUUGAACGAGGAAUUCCUAGUAAGCCCAAGUCAUCAGCUUGUGUUGAUUACGUCCCUGCCCUUUGUACACACCGCCCGUCGCUCCUACCGAUUGAAUGUUCCGGUGAGCUCUUCGGACUGCGCGGUCUGCAGUUUCUGCGUUCCGUGCGGAAAGUUGCGCAAACCUUAACAUUUAGAGGAAGGAGAAGUCGUAACA